rnacentral:rRNA from 1 species
AAUGGCCGCGGUACCUUGACCGUGCUAAGGUAGCGCAAUCAGUUGGCUCUUAAUUGGGGUCAGGAAUGAAUGGAGUUACGGAGUUUUACUGUCUCUUAGUUAAUUAUUCUAAAUUACUAUUUAGGUGAAAAAGCCUAAUAAUAGAAAGGGGACGAGAAGACCCUUAGAGUUUGACCUAUAUAAAUUUUAGAAAUUGUGUUUAUAAUGGUUUAGUUGGGGCAACGUAGGAGCAAUAAGGAAAGAGUAAAAUCUCCUAAAUUUUAUUAAUCGAUAUUUUUAAAUUUGAAUAAGCUACCUUAGGGAUAACAGCAUAAUUUAAUAAAUAAGUUUGUGACCUCGAUGUUGGACUAGGAAACUUAAAGGCUAGCCGUCUUUAAGGAAAGUUCUGUUCGAACUAUUAUUCCUACAUGAUCUGAGUU